rnacentral:rRNA from 1 species
UACAGAGGUGGCGAGCGUUAUUCGGAAUUAUUGGGCGUAAAGGGCGCGUAGGCGGCCCUGUAAGUCAAAGGUGAAAUCCCUCGGCUUAACCGAGGACGUGCCUUUGAUACUGCGGGGCUCGAGGCCGGGAGAGGGUAGUGGAAUUCCCAGUGUAGCGGUGAAAUGCGUAGAUAUUGGGAGGAACACCAGUGGCGAAGGCGGCUGCCUGGACCGGUUCUGACGCUGAGGCGCGAAAGCGUGGGGAGCAAACAGG